GGACGCAGCAAACAGCGAAAUGCGACGGGGAGCAGUAAGCAUGCGAAGAGCCGUCGAUAUCCGAAUGGGGGAACCCACCCGGGAUAGAGACCGGGUAUCCUGGAGUGAAUAGAUAGCUCCAGAGAGGCGAGACUCAGGGAACUGAAACAUCUAAGUACCUGAAGGAAGAGAAAAUAAAGAAAUGAUUCCCUAAGUAGCGGCGAGCGAAAGGGGAAGAGCCCAAACCGGCAAGAGCCGGGGUAGUAGGGCUGUCAAAAAAGGGCAAGAAGACAUUAUAGGCGAACGGAAUGGGAAGUCCGGCGAAACAGGGUGACAGCCCCGUAGCCGAAAUAGUGAGGAAGUCCGAGACAGUACCUGAGUACGGCGGGACACGAGGAAUCCUGUCGGAAACAGCCAGGACCAUCUGGCAAGGCUAAAUACUACUCUGUGACCGAUAGUGAACCAGUACCGUGAGGGAAAGGUGAAAAGAACCCCGGGAGGGGAGUGAAAUAGAACCUGAAACCAUAUGCCUACAAGAAGUUAGAGCCCGUUAAAGGGUGAUAGCGUGCCUUUUGUAGAAUGAACCGGCGAGUUACGAUAUGGAGCGAGGUUAAGCAGGAUAUGCGGAGCCGAAGCGAAAGCGAGUCUUAAGAGGGCGAAAGUUGCAUGUCGUAGACCCGAAACCGGGUGAUCUAGCCAUGGCCAGGUUGAAGUUGGGGUAAAACCCGAUGGAGGACCGAACCGACCCCCGUUGAAACGUUGGCGGAUGAGCUGUGGCUAGGGGUGAAAUUCCAAUCGAACCCGGAGAUAGCUGGUUCUCCCCGAAAUAGCUUUAGGGCUAGCGUCGAGGCAAGUGAUGUGAAGGUAGAGCACUGAAUAUGUGAUGGCCCCAUCCCGGGGUACUGAAUAUAAUCAAACUCCGAAUGACACAUAAACAUCCUCGGCAGUCAGACAGUGGGUGAUAAGGUCCAGUGUCAAGAGGGAAACAGCCCAGACCAUCAGCUAAGGUCCCAAAAUAUAUACUAAGUGGAAAAGGAUGUGGAGAUGUCGAGACAACUAGGAGGUUGGCUCAGAAGCAGCCAUCCUUUAAAGAGUGCGUAACAGCUCACUAGUCGAAUGACUCUGCGCCGAUAAUUUACCGGGGCUAAGUAUAUUACCGAAGCUAUGGAUUUGCGCAAGCAAGUGGUAGGGGAGCGUUCUAUAUGCGGCGAAGGCGUACCGGAAGGAGCGCUGGAGCGUAUAGAAGAGAGAAUGCCGGUGUGAGUAGCGGAACGUGGGUGAGAAUCCCACGCACCGAAAACCCAAGGUUUCCAGAGGAAGGUUCGUCCGCUCUGGGUAAGUCGGGACCUAAGGCGAGGCCGAGAGGCGUAGCCGAUGGACAACAGGUGGAUAUUCCUGUACUUACGGUAUGAAUGAAGGAGUGACGGAGAAGGCUAGGUGAUCCUGCUGCUGGAAAAGCAGGUGCAAGCGAGGUAGCUGACAGCCAGGCAAAUCCGGCUGUCAUAAAGGCGAAGGCGUGAUGCGUAUGGAAAGCCGAGGCAAGUACAGAAGUCAUUGAAGCCAGCUUCCAAGAAAAGCUUCUAGUGCGAAUCAUACAGUAACCCGUACCGAAAAUGGACACACAUGGGUGAGGAGAGAAUCCUAAG
rnacentral:rRNA from 1 species